rnacentral:tRNA from 1 species
GUUGUCGUUGCCGAGUGGUUAGCCGAUGGACUGCAAAUCUUUUGGGAUCUCCCGCGCAGGUUCGAAUCCUGCCGACAUCG